CCUACGGGUGGCAGCAGUGAGGAAUAUUGGUCAAUGGACGAGAGUCUGAACCAGCCAAGUAGCGUGAAGGAUGACUGCCCUAUGGGUUGUAAACUUCUUUUAUAAAGGAAUAAAACGAGGCACGUGUGCCUUUUUGCAUGUACUUUAUGAAUAAGGAUCGGCUAACUCCGUGCCAGCAGCCGCGGUAAUACGGAGGAUCCGAGCGUUAUCCGGAUUUAGUGGGUUUAAAGGGAGCGUAGAUGGGUUGUUAAGUCAGUUGUGAAAGUUUGCGGCUCAACCGUAAAAUUGCAAUUGAUACUGGCAGUCCUGAGUACAGUUGAGGUAGGCGGAAUUCGUGGUGUAGCGGUGAAAUGCUUAGAUAUCACGAAGAACCCCGAUUGCGAAGGCAGCUUACUAAACUGUGACUGACAUUGAUGCUCGAAAGUGUGGGUAUCAAACAGGAUUAAAUACCCGUGUAGUC
rnacentral:rRNA from 1 species